rnacentral:rRNA from 1 species
UUGAUACUAUUAGGCUUGAGUUAAGAAGAGGUAAGCAGAAUUUAUGGUGUAGUAGUGAAAUGCUUAGAUAUCAUAAGGAAUACCAAUAGCGUAGGCAGCUUACUGGUCUUUAACUGACGCUGAGGCACGAAAGCGUGGGGAGCAAACAGGAUUAGAUACCCUGGUAGUCCACGCCGUAAACGAUGAUCACUCGAUAUACAUGAUACAUCAUGUGUGUCUAAGCGAAAGCGUUAAGUGAUCCACCUGGGGAGUAUACUCGCAAGGGUGAAACUCAAAGGAAUUGACGGGGGUCCGCACAAGCGGUGGAGUAUGUGGUUUAAUUCGAUAAUACGCGAGGAACCUUACCUGGGCUAGAAUGUGUUUUGCUACCUUGAGAAAUUAAGGGUUCCUUCGGGACGGAAUACAAGGUGCUGCAUGGCUGUCGUCAGCUCGCGCCGUGAGGUGUUGGGUUAAGUCCUAUAACGAGCGAAACCCUUUUACUUAAUUGCCAGCACGUAAUGGUGGGGACUUUAAGUAGACUGCCCGUGUAAGCGGGAGGAAGGAGAGGACGAGGUCAAGUCAUCAUGGCCUUUAUGCCCAGGGCUACACACGUACUACAAUGGCAUGUACAAGGGGAAGCUACUCGGCAACAAGAUGCAAAUCUCAAAAGCAUGUCUCAGUUCGGAUUGAGGUCUGCAAUUCGACCUCAUGAAGUUGGAAUCGCUAGUAAUCGCGUAUCAGCAAUGACGCGGUGAAUACGUUCUCGGACCUUGUACACACCGCCCAUCAAGCCAUG